rnacentral:rRNA from 1 species
AUGGUCAAGGAUUUGAAAGUCAUCUUUGGAAAGGGUCCUGGCGGACAAUCAGUACCGAAGGGAGCUGACGGGCACGCAGCCAUGUGGAAGAAGAAAUCUAUAUUCUGGGAGCUAGAAUAUUGGAAAGUCCUAGAAGUCCGCUCUGCAAUCGACGUGAUGCACGUUACGAAGAAUAUUUGCGUGAACCUCCUAAGCUUCUUGGGCGUGUAUGGGAAGACAAAUGAUACAAAGGAAGCACGACAGGACCAGCAACGUUUGAAAGACCCUGAUGACCGGCAUCCGGAAUGGUUUCAAGGUCGUGCCAGCUACGCUCUGACCAAAGAAGAGAAGGUCAUCUUUUUUGAAUGCCUGAGCAGUAUGAAGGUCCCGUCUGGAUUCUCGUCCAAUAUAAAGGGAAUAAUAAACAUGGCGGAGAAAAAGUUCCAAAACCUGAAGUCUCACGACUGCCACGUGAUUAUGACGCAAUUGCUUCCGAUUGCUUUGAGGGGGCUCAUGCCGGAAAAUGUUCGAGUAGCCAUUGUGAAGCUAUGCGCAUUCCUCAAUGCAAUCUCUCAGAAGGUAAUCAAUCCAGAAGAUCUACCACGGUUACAGAACGAUGUGAUCCAAUGUCUUGUCAGUUUCGAGUUGGUGUUCCCGCCAUCCUUCUUCAAUAUUAUGACGCACCUCUUGGUUCACCUAGUCGAAGAGAUUUUCAUUCUCGCUCCUGUAUUUCUACACAAUAUGUUCCCCUUCGAGAGGUUCAUUUGA